rnacentral:rRNA from 1 species
UGGGGAAUAUUGCACAAUGGGGGAAACCCUGAUGCAGCAACGCCGCGUGAGUGAAGAAGUAUUUCGGUAUGUAAAGCUCUAUCAGCAGGGAAGAAAAUGACGGUACCUGACUAAGAAGCCCCGGCUAACUACGUGCCAGCAGCCGCGGUAAUACGUAGGGGGCAAGCGUUAUCCGGAUUUACUGGGUGUAAAGGGAGCGUAGACGGCAGCGCAAGUCUGAAGUGAAAGCCCGGGGCUCAACCCCGGAAUGGCUUUGGAAACUGUGCAGCUAGAGUACCGGAGGGGUAAGCGGAAUUCCUAGUGUAGCGGUGAAAUGCGUAGAUAUUAGGAGGAACACCAGUGGCGAAGGCGGCUUACUGGACGGUAACUGACGUUGAGGCUCGAAAGCGUGGGGAGCAAACA